rnacentral:rRNA from 1 species
CUAACUGGAGGACCGAACCGACUAAUGUUGAAAAAUUAGCGGAUGACUUGUGGCUGGGGGUGAAAGGCCAAUCAAACCGGGAGAUAGCUGGUUCUCCCCGAAAGCUAUUUAGGUAGCGCCUCGUGAACUCAUCUUCGGGGGUAGAGCACUGUUUCGGCUAGGGGGUCAUCCCGACUUACCAACCCGAUGCAAACUACGAAUACCGAAGAAUGUUAUCACGGGAGACACACGGCGGGUGCUAACGUCCGUCGUGAAGAGGGAAACAACCCAGACCGCCAGCUAAGGUCCCAAAGUCAUGGUUAAGUGGGAAACGAUGUGGGAAGGCACAGACAGCCAGGAUGUUGGCUUAGAAGCAGCCAUCAUUUAAAGAAAGCGUAAUAGCUCACUGGUCGAGUCGGCCUGCGCGGAAGAUGUAACGGGGCUAAACCAUGCACCGAAGCUGCGGCAGCGACACUAUGUGUUGUUGGGUAGGGGAGCGUUCUGUAAGCCUGCGAAGGUGUGCUGUGAGGCAUGCUGGAGGUAUCAGAAGUGCGAAUGCUGACAUAAGUAACGAUAAAGCGGGUGAAAAGCCCGCUCGCCGGAAGACCAAGGGUUCCUGUCCAACGUUAAUCGGGGCAGGGUGAGUCGACCCCUAAGGCGAGGCCGAAAGGCGUAGUCGAUGGGAAACAGGUUAAUAUUCCUGUACUUGGUGUUACUGCGAAGGGGGGACGGAGAAGGCUAUGUUAGCCGGGCGACGGUUGUCCCGGUUUAAGCAUGUAGGCUG